CCUACGGGUGGCUGCAGUGGGGAAUUUUGGACAAUGGGGGCAACCCUGAUCCAGCCAUUCCGCGUGAGUGAAGAAGGCCUUCGGGUUGUAAAGCUCUUUCGGCCGGGAAGAAAUCGCAUCUCCUAAUACGGGGUGUGGAUGACGGUACCGGAAGAAGAAGCACCGGCUAACUACGUGCCAGCAGCAGCGGUAAUACGUAGCGGGCGAGCGUUAAUCGGAACUACUGGGCGUAAAGCGCGCGCACGCAUCUGAAAUCCCCGGGCUUAACCUUGGAACUGCGUUUGUGACUGGUGGGCUUGAGUGCGGCAGAGGGGGGUGGAAUUCCACGUGUAGCAGUGAAAUGCGUAGAGAUGUGGAGGAACACCGAUGGCGAAGGCAGCCCCCUGGGUCGACACUGACGCUCAUGCACGAAAGCGUGGGGAGCAAACAGGAUUAGAUACCCGUGUAGUC
rnacentral:rRNA from 1 species